rnacentral:tRNA from 1 species
GGCGUCAUUAGCUCAGUUGGUAGAGCAGUUGACUUUUAAUCAAUUGGUCGCAGGUUCGAAUCCUGCACGACCCACCA